GGGCGAUUAGCUCAGUGGGAGAGCGUCCCGUUCACAUCGGGAAGGUCGUAGGUUCAAUCCCUACAUCGCCUACCA
rnacentral:tRNA from 1 species